rnacentral:lncRNA from 10 species
AUAUCUGAGGUGCGACUGCGGGACGUAGAGCGGACUGGGCCUUUCCCGUUGGCGCGUGGCCUCAAUCAGAGAUGGGGUUCCGCCAUAUUGCUCACGCUGGCCUAGAACUGCCGAGCUCAAAGAAUCCACCUACCGUGACGUCCCAAAGUUGUGGAAUUGCAGUGCUUCACUGGCCCCGGCCUUAUUUCCAAAAUGAAAUAACUCACAUAAGUUCUGUGGUGACAUGUAAAAACCCAAUUCCCGUAACAGCUUUCCCAACGUUGAUUUUUUAGACAUGAUG